UCUCCGUUGGUGAGCCAGCGGAGGGAUCAUUACAGGACUCCCAAGACUCCUACACCCCUGUGAACUUUACAAUAAACACGUUUGUUCUGCGGGUGUCUCGGAAGUGGUUCUCCCGCCCCGGGACGCUAAACCCGCCGGCAGCCUACUAUCUUCUGUCUCUUUUCGUUGGCAUUUCGAGUACAAUCAAACAAGUUAAAACUUUCAACAACGGAUCUCUUGGUUCUG
rnacentral:misc_RNA from 1 species